rnacentral:miRNA from 8 species
UGAAAUGUUUAGGACCACUUGA